UAUGGCUCAGGACGAACUCUGGCGGCGUGCCUAAUACAUGCAAGUCGAGCGAACAGAAGGGAGCUUGCUCCCGGAUGUUAGCGGCGGACGGGUGAGUAACACGUGGGUAACCUGCCUGUAAGACUGGGAUAACUCCGGGAAACCGGAGCUAAUACCGGAUAGUUCCUUGAACCGCAUGGUUCAAGGAUGAAAGACGGUUUCGGCUGUCACUUACAGAUGGACCCGCGGCGCAUUAGCUAGUUGGUGGGGUAAUGGCUCACCAAGGCGACGAUGCGUAGCCGACCUGAGAGGGUGAUCGGCCACACUGGGACUGAGACACGGCCCAGACUCCUACGGGAGGCAGCAGUAGGGAAUCUUCCGCAAUGGACGAAAGUCUGACGGAGCAACGCCGCGUGAGUGAUGAAGGUUUUCGGAUCGUAAAGCUCUGUUGUUAGGGAAGAACAAGUGCGAGAGUAACUGCUCGCACCUUGACGGUACCUAACCAGAAAGCCACGGCUAACUACGUGCCAGCAGCCGCGGUAAUACGUAGGUGGCAAGCGUUGUCCGGAAUUAUUGGGCGUAAAGGGCUCGCAGGCGGUUUCUUAAGUCUGAUGUGAAAGCCCCCGGCUCAACCGGGGAGGGUCAUUGGAAACUGGGAAACUUGAGUGCAGAAGAGGAGAGUGGAAUUCCACGUGUAGCGGUGAAAUGCGUAGAGAUGUGGAGGAACACCAGUGGCGAAGGCGACUCUCUGGUCUGUAACUGACGCUGAGGAGCGAAAGCGUGGGGAGCGAACAGGAUUAGAUACCCUGGUAGUCCACGCCGUAAACGAUGAGUGCUAAGUGUUAGGGGGUUUCCGCCCCUUAGUGCUGCAGCUAACGCAU
rnacentral:rRNA from 1 species